ACUUUUAAAGGAUAGAAGUCAUCCGUUGGYCUUAGGAACCAAAAAAUUGYUGCAACUCCAAAUAAAAGUA
rnacentral:tRNA from 1 species